GUUGGAUGUUGUGGUCGGCUCGUUUGAUGGCGAGAGUAAAAAGUGAUUGCCAUCGGUACCGAUUCCGCUGGAACAAUCCAGUAAGAGAAAUGCAACAGCAAGACUGGGAUUCGAACCUGGGACCCUCCAAACUCUAGAUGGAUGUUCUACCAAUUGCAGUUGAGCUAGCAGGUUGUAGACGAGCGACCCAGUCCAGUUUCACUUCAUUCCUCUCUCGUUUUUCUGUCUUUGUCCGAAAGGCAUCACCAUGCAACAGCCAAACCAGGAUUCAAAUCGGGACCCUCCAAUCUCUAGACAGAAGCUCUACACAUUGAGCUCCCUACCUAGGGCUGGUUGCUAACGAUUGACCCAGUCCAGUUCCGCUUCAUGUGUAUAAUUGAUAUCAGAGCAAAGGUCCUCCCAUUGUCUGGCCCAGGACAAAACCGCCAGCACCCAGGUGGCCCACUGAACAGUUACCAAAGAUUACAGGUAAAAAGUCAAGAAACAAGUUUACUAUCCCCAUACCCUGACAACAGAACAAAUAGGGUCGAUACAGGCAUAUGGAACCAGCCCUGCCAUGAA